rnacentral:rRNA from 1 species
GAUGAACGCUGGCGGCGUGCCUAAUACAUGCAAGUCGAGCGAAUGGAUUAAGAGCUUGCUCUUAUGAAGUUAGCGGCGGACGGGUGAGUAACACGUGGGUAACCUGCCCAUAAGACUGGGAUAACUCCGGGAAACCGGGGCUAAUACCGGAUAACAUUUUGAACCGCAUGGCUCGAAAUUGAAAGGCGGCUUCGGCUGUCACUUAUGGAUGGACCCGGGUCGCAUUAGCUAGUUGGUGAGGUAACGGCUCACCAAGGCAACGAUGCGUAGCCGACCUGAGAGGGUGAUCGGCCACACUGGGACUGAGACACGGCCCAGACUCCUACGGGAGGCAGCAGUAGGGAAUCUUCCGCAAUGGACGAAAGUCUGACGGAGCAACGCCGCGUGAGUGAUGAAGGCUUUCGGGUCGUAAAACUCUGUUGUUAGGGAAGAACAAGUGCUAGUUGAAUAAGCUGGCACCUUGACGGUACCUAACCAGAAAGCCACGGCUAACUACGUGCCAGCAGCCGCUGUAA